GCGCUUUUUCCCUGCCAACGGUCUGAAGUGAAGCAGAGUCAAGCUUAGCUUAUUAGCUUGCUUUCGAGCGAGCGAACGCGGCGAGACAAGACUUCCGUCAGACCGUCUGGUCACAAGCACACUCUCACUCUCACUCUCACUGCUUGAAAAGGGCGACGACGAGGACGAGGACGAAGACAGUGUGGGGUAGACCUUCUGCAGACUGCUGGUCUAGGAUGGGCAGAGUGUGGAGCCUAGCUAUUAGCUUGCGCGAGCAAGCGAACGUGGGCAAGACAUCGUCACGAUCAGACUGGUGGUUCAAAGGUCGCUCGAAGUCGGAGUUCUAGGUCUGUAGUGUGUCGUCCUUCUCAAUCCAAAGGUCGACCUCAAAUCAGGCAGGACUACCCGCCGAACUUAAGCAUAUCAAUAAGCGGAGGAAAAGAAACUAACAAGGAUUCCCCUAGUAACUGCGAGUGAAGCGGGAAAAGCUCAAAUUUCGAAUCUGGCGGUCGUAGAGGCC
rnacentral:rRNA from 1 species